UGUGACCAAGGGGGUGCCAUAUCCUGGCCUGCCCAAGCGUGACAAGCCAAGGCGUGUGGAGCAUUAUUUCUCGAGUUGGGUUAUCAGGGCUGUGGAAUCUCGAAAAGGAGAUGGACAGAUGUCUGGAUGUGAAGUUAUCCUUUUACAUUGUGAGGAUAUGGGAAUCCCCAAAGAUGUGGCUAAGCUGGGAUUGCGUCAUGGUAUGUGGGGAACUGUCAAGAAGUUGCACUCUGGCAUGAGGGCAUAUCAGAAUGCUAGGAUAUCAGAGGCUUCAUUGUCAAGAAGCGCACUCAUGGCGAGAAUUACAACAAAAAUUUCUUUUGACGAAAGUAUGGACUCUUCAGAGCCUGUGACUGGCGAAGUGGAUAAAGGUCAAGUGGUAGACAUUAAAAGACACAAGGAUCAUGGCAUUGACUGGAAAUGGAUAGUUAUAGGAGGAACAGUAGCUCUGGUGUGUGGACUUCAUUCUGGUGCUGUUGGAAAGGGCUUGUUGCUUGGUGCAGGGCAAAGAAUUGCGCGGAGAUGAGAGUUUUCUAGUUGAAGGACAUUUUAGCUCUAUUUGAUUUUCAAGGAUUUGUAAAAUUGUAUUCAACUAACUAGCUGAGGUAUCAAUGAUCAUUAUCAAAAGAUCAAUGAUGUGUUAUUAAAUUUUCUGUAUUGGGAC
rnacentral:misc_RNA from 1 species